AGCGAACGCUGGCGGCGUGCUUAACACAUGCAAGCCGAGCGAAGGUGUUUCAAGGGUAACCUUGAGAUACACUUAGCGGCGGACGGGUGAGUAAUACGUGGAUAACUUACCUCUAGGCCUGGGAUAACCCCGGGAAACUGGGGCGUAAUACCUGAUAAGACCACAUUGUCUACGGACAAAGGGGUAAAAGGUAGGCUGUGCAAACAGCUAUCGCCAAAAGAUAGGUUCACGUCCCAUCAGGCAGUUGGUGAGGUAAUGGCUCACCAAACCAAAGACGGGUAGCCGG
rnacentral:rRNA from 1 species